GACGAACGCUGGCGGCGUGCUUAACACAUGCAAGUCGAACGGAAAGGCCCUGCUUUUGUGGGGUGCUCGAGUGGCGAACGGGUGAGUAACACGUGAGUAACCUGCCCUUGACUUUGGGAUAACUUCAGGAAACUGGGGCUAAUACCGGAUAGGAGCUCCUGCUGCAUGGUGGGGGUUGGAAAGUUUCGGCGGUUGGGGAUGGACUCGCGGCUUAUCAGCUUGUUGGUGGGGUAGUGGCUUACCAAGGCUUUGACGGGUAGCCGGCCUGAGAGGGUGACCGGCCACAUUGGGACUGAGAUACGGCCCAGACUCCUACGGGAGGCAGCAGUGGGGAAUAUUACACAAUGGGCGGAAGCCUGAUGCAGCAACGCCGCGUGCGGGAUGACGGCCUUCGGGUUGUAAACCGCUUUCGCCUGUGACGAAGCGUGAGUGACGGUAAUGGGUAAAAAAGCACCGGCUAACUACGUG
rnacentral:rRNA from 1 species